rnacentral:rRNA from 1 species
GACGAACGCUGGCGGCGUGCUUAACACAUGCAAGUCGAACGGAAAGGCCCUGCUUUUGUGGGGUGCUCGAGUGGCGAACGGGUGAGUAACACGUGAGUAACCUGCCCUUGACUUUGGGAUAACUUCAGGAAACUGGGGCUAAUACCGGAUAGGAGCUCCUGCUGCAUGGUGGGGGUUGGAAAGUUUCGGCGGUUGGGGAUGGACUCGCGGCUUAUCAGCUUGUUGGUGGGGUAGUGGCUUACCAAGGGUUUGACGGGUAGCCGGCCUGAGAGGGUGACCGGCCACAUUGGUACUGAGGUACGGCCCAGACUCCUACGGGAGGCAGCAGUGGGGAAUAUUGCACAAUGGGCGGAAGCCUGAUGCAGCAACGCCGCGUGCGGGAUGACGGCCUUCGGGUUAUAAACCGCUUUCGCCUGUGACGAAGCGUGAGUGACGGUAAUGGGUAAAGAAGCACCGGCUAACUACGUG